GGUUUGGUGGUCUAGUGGUAUGAUUCUCGCUUAGGGUCCACCCUGAACAAUAGUUUGCGAGAGGUCCCGGGUUCAAUCCCCGGCCAAACCC
rnacentral:tRNA from 1 species